rnacentral:rRNA from 1 species
AUGCUUCUACUUUCUAUAUGGAGCUGGGAGCGUCUACCUGUUGUACGCCCGAAGAGCGUCAGGUUUAAUCCUUGGUAUGAAGAUGAAGAUGAUGAAUUACGGCGCCCCACUUGGGCUUACAAGUGGGAUGUGGUUUCCGAGAUGACGAACGAUGUCAAUCUCAUGUACUAG